AUGACUCGGGCCCAGUAUCCCCUCCUGGACCUUUCUUUGAGGUCUGGAACUAAACUUCUGGAGGUAACUUUGUGGACAGAAGAGGCGCUGAUGGACCUGUACGUCGGGGAUAAGGCUGAGAUCGUAGAGCGCCAGAUCCUUGAAGCAGUGCUGACAAUUAUUGGAGUGUCCGAGGAUGAUAAUAAUAUGCUCAUCCUGUUGGACAGUGAGCUAGAAGACUAUGCUGUACCAAGCCAUUUUUACCAUGGCAAUAUAAAUGACUUGAUUCAGCAGCUACCAAUUACAUUAAAAGUCCAGCAUAUUCAUCAUCGUGUGCUGAAACUUGAGGCCGUGGAUCCAACUGAGGCCGGAUCCUCAUCCCUGGAUACAGCCGAGGAUGCAGAAUCCCUGGAUACAGCCGAGGAUGCAGAAUCCCUGGACCUUAUCAAGGCCGCAGAAGCCCUAGAUGUUGAAAAAACUGAGGCUUAAAAUGUGUUUGUGUCAUGAUCAUUGACUCUUAUUUUGAUUUUGAUUAGGUUUUGUAGGUUUUAGGUUUGAUUAGGUUUUCACAUUUAACGUACAGUUUUAAUUAUUUAUAUUUAUUGUUUUAACGUUAUGUUUAAAAUCAAGGCAUUAUUAAUGAAUUCUUAAUAGGUAGGCUAUUAAUUAAGUUAUUAUUCACUCCAAGUGAGCAUUGAAAAGAUUAAUUUUGAUACUGAAUUCAUCAGCUCUAUUGUGUGUUGUUACUCUCAUUUAACUGAUUAAAUUAUAAGAAUUUGACACAAAAGAUGAUGCAUACAUUUAACACCACAGAGUAUAGAAGCCCAAGAGGCGAAACUCUGUUGUGUUAUGGGUAACAGUCUGUAGAUGGCGCUGCGGAGGCGCGGCCACCAUUAUGGACUGAAAGCUGCUGAAAUCGUUAGCGCCAGUUUGCGCGCCACACAACCAAACUGUGAAGAAGAUGAGCAAGUGGUCAAAACGCAAGCAGUGUUCUGCAAUAAAUUGCAAAAAUUACCAGUCCA
ensembl:lncRNA